rnacentral:tRNA from 1 species
ACUUUUAUGGUGUAUAGCACAAGAAAUUUUCAAUUUCUAGGAAUAAAAUAUAUAAGUU